UACGUAGGUGGCAAGCGUUGUCCGGAUUUAUUGGGCUUAAAGGGUGCGUAGGCGGUCCUAUAAGUCAGUGCUGAAAUAUCCCGGCUUAACCGGGAGGGUGGCAUUGAUACUGUGGGACUUGAGUAAAGUUGAGGUUGGCGGAAUUGACGGUGUAGCGGUGAAAUGCUUAGAUAUCGUCAAGAACACCUAUUGCGAAGGCAGCUAACUAAGCUUUAACUGACGCUGAGGCACGAAAGUGUGGGGAUCAAACAGG
rnacentral:rRNA from 1 species